rnacentral:misc_RNA from 1 species
UUGUGGAGGAGGACGCCGAAGGUGGGGCUAAUGACUGGGGUGAAGUCGUAACAAGGUAGCCGUACCGGAAGGUGCGGCUGGAUCACCUCCUAACAGGGAGACAACAAAAUGUUUAAUAUUAUUAUUUUGUCACCUUAGGUCGAUCGGUAUCUCACGUUCUUAAUUUAUUAAGGAUUUCAUUUCCUAAGUUUUUCUAGGUCACACCCAUUAUUUUUCCUGGGCCAUUAGCUCAGGUGGUUAGAGCGCGCCCCUGAUAAGGGUGAGGUCCCUGGUUCAAGUCCAGGAUGGCCCAUCUCUCUAUGUUGGGGGUAUAGCUCAGUUGGUAGAGCGCCUGCUUUGCAAGCAGGAUGUCAGCGGUUCGAGUCCGCUUACCUCCACUGAUUACCACCUCUAGCAUAAUUUGUAAAAAGGAAACUUUUUGAGUUGUGAUCAAUUUCUGAACGAAUCUAGCUUCCUAAUGAAAUCAUUAAGAUGCUGGACUCAUUGAAUUAAUUUCAUUGUUUUCAGAGAACCUUGACAACUGCAUAGUAAAUUUUUAAAGACAAUAAGCAUCUUUAAUGAUGCAGAUUUAUUAUUUGUGCGAAUGCAUUAAUAACAAUUCUAUUAAGCUGAUGCUUCAAUUAUUGAAGUUAUUGGUCAAGCUACAA